rnacentral:rRNA from 1 species
GAUGAACGCUGGCGGCGUGCCUAAUACAUGCAAGUCGAGCGAACAGACGAGGAGCUUGCUCCUCUGACGUUAGCGGCGGACGGGUGAGUAACACGUGGAUAACCUACCUAUAAGACUGGGAUAACUUCGGGAAACCGGAGCUAAUACCGGAUAAUAUAUUGAACCGCAUGGUUCAAUAGUGAAAGACGGUUUUGCUGACACUUAUCGAUGGAUCCGCGCCGCAUUAGCUAGUUGGUAAGGUAACGGCUUACCAAGGCAACGAUGCGUAGACCACCGGUGAGGGUGAUCGGCCAGACGAGAACCGAGACACGGUCCAGACUCCUCAGGGAGGCCACAGUAGGGAAUCUUCCGCAAUGGGCGAAAACUGGACGGAGCAACGGCGCGUGUGUGAUGAAGGUCUUCGGAUCGUAAAACUGUGUUAUUAGGGAAAAAAAAAUGUGUAAGUUACUAUGCACGUCUUCACGGUACCGAAACAGAAAGCCGCGGCUAACUACGUG